UAUCGAGCUUAAACUCCUAAAAGAAUAACUUUAAAUCCUAUAAAAAAAAAUCUUUUAUAGAAGUUUUGGGUUGGGGCAACCACGGAGAAAUAAGAAUCCUCCAGAAACCUAAAAAGAUUUAUAAAUCAUUUAACACAUGAUAAAGAACCAGAAUACUGAAAACAGAAAUAGUUACCGCAGGGAUAACAGCGUCAUCUCCUUUAAGAGUUCACAUUGACAAAGAAGAUUGCGACCUCGAUGUUGGAUUAGGGCCACCAAAUGGUGUAGCAGCUAUUAAUGGUUGGACUGUUCGUCCAUUAAUCCCCUACAUGAUCUGAGUUCAGACCGACGAAAGUCAGGUCAGCUUCUAUCUUCUUUUAUAUAACCUCCCCAGUACGAAAGGACCGGGAAUAAACUUCCAAUAAUUUUUAUUAAGAAGUAUUUAGAUCAACACAACCAUAUUUAUUAAAAACAAAACCUCCAUAUAACUACUAUAAUAAAAAAUAUGAAA
rnacentral:rRNA from 1 species